rnacentral:lncRNA from 1 species
UUUCUAAUAAUUUUCUUCAUAUAAUUCCACAUUCUAUAGACUUCUUCUUAUGGCACACUUUCAACUCUCAAAAAUCAAUGUAUUAUAAUUCUUCCAUUCAUAUUCAUACUUCACAAAAAUCUUUAAUUAUCGACUUUCCAAUUUUUUACUUAUAAUUCAAUCCACAAUAAAUUCAAUUUCUCAUUUGACAUCAUAUAAAUCAAAUCUUUCUUUCAUUACAAAAUUUCACUUCACAUUAUUCAAAUUCAAUCCAUUUCUUUUUUUCUAUAAAAAAAUAAAAAAAACGUAGCACCAAGCUUACCCUAACUCAUAACUAACACAAUCUGGCAAUGUCUACUUCUUCUUCAACUAAUUUAUAUUUACUCCUAAAA